GAUGAAGAACGCAGCGAAAUGCGAUACGUAAUGUGAAUUGCAGAAUUCAGUGAAUCAUCGAGUCUUUGAACGCACAUUGCGCCCCCUGGUAUUCCGGGGGGCAUGCCUGUCCGAGCGUCAUUGCUGCCCUCAAGCACGGCUUGUGUGUUGGGCCUCCGUCCUCCUCCCGGGGGACGGGCCCGAAAGGCAGCGGCGGCACCGCCUCCGGUCCUCGAGCGUAUGGGGCUUCGUCACCCGCUCUUGUAGGCCCGGCCGGCGCUUGCCGACACAUCAAUCUUUUUUCCAGGUUGACCUCGGAUCAGGUAGGGAUACCCGCUGAACUUAAGCAUAUCAAUAAGCGGAGGA
rnacentral:misc_RNA from 1 species